AAUAAACGUAGCCAUGAGUUUCCGUAUCCAAUUUAGAUCCUCCGUCUUAUUUGAUUUUUUUUAAUUAGUAUUUUUAUUAUUAUUAUGUUAUAAAAUAUGAAUAGUAAUUUAUGCGUGACUUAUGUUUUAAGUUUUUUUAAAAAAAUUAGUAAGACGGACGAUUAAAUUUGGACAUGAAAACUUAUGGCAACAAUCAGU
rfam:Oryza glumipatula chromosome 2, whole genome shotgun sequence.